UUGAAAUCUGGCUCUUUCCAAGUCCGAGUUGUAAUUUGAAGAAGGUAUCUUUGGGUCUGGCUCUUGUCUAUGUUUCUUGGAACAGAACGUCACAGAGGGUGAGAAUCCCGUGCGAUGAGAUGAUCCAGGCCUAUGUAAAGUUCCUUCGAAGAGUCGAGUUGUUUGGGAAUGCAGCUCUAAGUGGGUGGUAAAUUCCAUCUAAAGCUAAAUAUUGGCGAGAGACCGAUAGCGAACAAGUACAGAGAUGGAAAGAUGAAAAGAACUUUGAAAAGAGAGUGAAAAAGUACGUGAAAUUGUUGAAAGGGAAGGGCUUGAGAUCAGACUUGGUAUUUUGUAUGUUACUUCUUCGGGGGUGGCCUCUACAGUUUAUCGGGCCAGCAUCAGUUUGGGCGGUAGGAAAAUUGCGUUGGAAUGUGGCACGGCUUCGGUUGUGUGUUAUAGCCUUCGUCGAUACUGCCAGCCUAGACUGAGGACUGCGGUUUAUWCCU
rnacentral:rRNA from 1 species